GAGAGAACAUGAAGAGACAAAGAUGCUGUCCAUUUCAUCAAUAAAGUUACUUGUAAAAGUUGCUGUUAGUGACCUUGUAGAGAAACAUGGAUUCUAUCCAUCUGGUAAGGAAAAGCUGGCACUAGCAAAGGAGAUUGUGCUGUUGUUCCCCUCAUUAAGGAUUUCGGUUCCAUUUGGUCAAAAUGAGGGACAUGAGCAUUUCUUUGAUGGGCCAUCACACAGUGGAUUUAUAGAAAUGAGACUACGGAACAUCAGGCGGAAGCUUCAACAGAGCCAACGGACCUACAGUUUGAAACGUCGCC